rnacentral:tRNA from 1 species
GCGCUCGUAGCCCAACGGCAGGAGGCACAAGGCUUAGACCCUUGGUAGUGUCGGUUCGAAUCCGACCGGGCGUA